GAGACAUUGCUCUUUGCCCGGGCCGGGGUCUCCUGCAGCCGAGACGCCCGCGGGCCAGGACCCUGGCUCAUCAGGGACUAUCAAAGCUGUGCUGUGGGAAGUGGCACUGACGAUCCCCACCCUCAUGAUGUCACUUUGAGCCCUGUUAGUUGGAGGGAAGGCAGAAUCUCACAGACUCUGGGCCAAGCUCUCUGGGUUUAGAUCCCAGCUCUGCGAUUCACUUGCUGUGUGACCUUGGUGUGCAGCUGCUCGUGUCAUUCUGAAGAGGUUGCAGCCUUGGGCAUGUGUACAGUCGCCCUGAGAGGACGGUGUUUUCAGAAGUGCUUUCUAUGACUUUCUUCCUCCCUGAUCUCCCUGUUAAGCUGCCUGCCUCUGUUAGGACCACACGCAGCUGUUAGACUUCACAGACCGUGGGGUAAUUGCUCUGCUAUUUUCAACAAUGCUCUGGAGGCAAUAAUUGCUUGAUAUGCUUCUCCAGGCCCAGCUCCUGCAGAGUGUAUGGCUUUUCGAGCUCCAAGCUCCUGUGGUGAAUGGUGGUCAAUAGCUGUCCCUUCUAGUCCCUUUGGGUGGCUUCAUUUCAGAGUGCCUCCAGCAAAACACCUCCCUGUGAAUGGAUGGCUUUCUCUAGCGCCCAACUGUGCAGAUUUACAGCAAAUUUUGGGGCGGUGUGAGGUAGAUAACAGUAAGACCCACUGGUGCAGCAGCAGAGCAACUUCUUUGCCAAUUCAGCGGGUCACACUGUGCCCUUUCCAACAAGAUCUAGAUCUUAGUCCCAUGGGGGUGGGAAGUGGGGUGUUCCUUGGGUACGCUCUCUCAGCCCUAGGGGUAGUGUUCUUCAAAUCUGCAAUUCCUAUAUUCUUUUGAGCACUCUAUACUUCUUGCCAGCCAUCCCUGUUACUCCAAUACCUUGGUAUGAUUCAUUAUGUCUUAUACUAAACUUUUCCUCACACACUGCAGAAGCUGGGUCCUGGGGAAGCAAUGUGCUUCAGGAGGCUGCUGUGUGAGCCCCUGGAACCAGAAAGCAGAACCCCACUCUCCCGCAGUGUUCCUCCAGUACCCUUUGUUGACAAAACUUAGGCACCCACAGGCAAAGGAAAAAUAUUGAAAGGUUCUGGCUCCAUUUUCACAGAGCAGGUGAAAAUUGUGAAUUUGGAGCUGAGAGGCAAUAAAUUGACAACUGGCAAAAAUUCAGCUGUUCAUCUGUAGCAGAAAGGGAAAAAGGUUGUGGUAUGUUCAUACAAUGGACUGGUAGGAAGCAUGAGAACGAAAGAACCAAUAUACACAGCAUGGAACAAUCUCACAACCAUGGUGCUGAGUGAAAGAAGCCAGACGAAAAAGAAAAGAAUGCUCUCGUUAGACAGAAGGAAUAAGUUCUGGUGUUCUAUUGCACAGUAGGGUGACUAUGGCUAACAGCUAAGUUUUGUAUAUAACCUAACAGCUAGAAGAGAGGUUUUUUGAAUUUUUUUUUUUUUUAACCAUGAAGAAGUGAUAAAUGCAGGAGGUGAUGGAUACAGUAACUGCCCUGACCCCAUCAUUCUACAACAUAUAUAUGUAUCAAAACAUCAGAUUGUACCCCAUAAGUAUGUACAAUUACAUGUCAAUUAAACUAAAUAAGUGAAUUAAAAAAAAAAAUCCUCUCUGCAUGAUUUCAUUAAUAUAAAAUACAAAAACCAGCCAAAUGAGUCUUGGCUGUUACAGGAAGCUGAGUAACUACCUUUGGUGAGUGUGAUAACUGCGUCUGGAGGGUGGUCACGGGGCGAAGGAAAUGUUUUGGUGCUAGAGCUGUUCUGUAUCCUGACUUGGAUGCUGGUUACUUGGGUGUGUUCAUUUUGAGAAAAUUCGUCAAGAUGUACACUUAUGAUUUAUGCACUUUUACAUAUACGUAUGUAUGCAUUAUUUAUUAUAGCUAAAGAAAAACUACUGCAAAAAUUAGAGGAUAUUGGCACACCCACGAUUAUUGCAGCAUUAUUUACAAUAACCAGGAGGUGGAAGCAACCUAAAUAUUCAAGGAUGCAUGAAAGGAUAAAGACAAUUUGAUAUAUGCAUAGAAUGGAAGAUUAUUCAGAGUUUAAAACGAAGGAAAUCUUGUCAAUGCUAUGGCAUAGACGUAACUUGAGACAGUAUGCUAAGUGAAAUAAGCAAGUCACAAAAAGACAAAAGCUACAUAAUUGCAUUUACUUUCAUAUGAGGCAACUAAAGUAGUCAAACUCAGGGAGUAGAAUGGUAGUCCUCAGGGGCUGAAGGGAAAGGGGAAAAGAGAACUGUUUGGGCGUACAGAAUUUCAGUUUUGUGGGAUGAGAAAGUUUAGAGAUCUGUUGCACAGCAAGAUUCAUGUAGUUAACACUACUGUGAACUUAAAAAUGGUUAA